ACAAAGUGACAGGUGGUGCAUGGUUGUCGUCAGCUCGUGUCGUGAGAUGUUGGGUUAAGUCCCGCAACGAGCGCAACCCUUAAGCUUAGUUGCCAUCAUUAAGUUGGGCACUCUAGGUUGACUGCCGGUGACAAACCGGAGGAAGGUGGGGAUGACGUCAAAUCAUCAUGCCCCUUAUGAUUUGGGCUACACACGUGCUACAAUGGACAAUACAAAGGGCAGCUAAACCGCGAGGUCAUGCAAAUCCCAUAAAGUUGUUCUCAGUUCGGAUUGUAGUCUGCAACUCGACUACAUGAAGCUGGAAUCGCUAGUAAUCGUAGAUCAGCAUGCUACGGUGAAUACGUUCCCGGGUCUUGUACACACCGCCCGUCACACCACGAAAGUCUGUCAUGCCCGAAGCCGGUGGCCUAACCGUAAGGAGGGAGCCGUCUAAGGCGGGACAGGUGAUUGGGGUG
rnacentral:rRNA from 1 species